rnacentral:rRNA from 1 species
ACGCUCGACACCUACGGUAGGCAGCAGUGGGGAAUAUUGCACAAUGGGGGAAACCCUGAUGCAGCGACGCCGCGUGGAGGAAGAAGGUCUUCGGAUUGUAAACUCCUGUUGUUGGGGAAAAAGAGGAUGGUACCCAACAAGGAAGUGGCGGCUAACUACGUACCAGCAGCCGCGGUAAUCUGAGCGGGCUGGCAAGGC